rnacentral:tRNA from 1 species
GGUUGUGGCUCAGUGGUAGAGCACUUGCUGAGCACUUGUGAGGCACUGGGUUCAAUUCUCAGCACCA